AUGAACGCUGGCGGCGUGCUUAACACAUGCAAGUCGAACGAAGCACUUUAUUUGAUUUCCUUCGGGACUGAUUAUUUUGUGACUGAGUGGCGGACGGGUGAGUAACGCGUGGGUAACCUGCCUUGUACAGGGGGAUAACAGUUGGAAACGGCUGCUAAUACCGCAUAAGCGCACGGCAUCGCAUGAUGCAGUGUGAAAAACUCCGGUGGUAUAAGAUGGACCCGCGUUGGAUUAGCUAGUUGGUGAGGUAACGGCCCACCAAGGCGACGAUCCAUAGCCGACCUGAGAGGGUGACCGGCCACAUUGGGACUGAGACACGGCCCAAACUCCUACGGGAGGCAGCAGUGGGGAAUAUUGCACAAUGGGCGAAAGCCUGAUGCAGCGACGCCGCGUGAGCGAAGAAGUAUUUCGGUAUGUAAAACUCUAUCAGCAGGGAAGAUAAUGACGGUACCUGACGAAGAAGCACCGGCUAAAUACGUG
rnacentral:rRNA from 1 species